AGCUCUCUGAAUCCGUUCUGAGAUUUCGUCAGAUACCAACCCACCAAAGCUAAUGAAACUCAUAUGAUAAGUUCAGUG
rfam:Schistosoma margrebowiei strain Zambia genome assembly, scaffold: SMRZ_scaffold0000111